rnacentral:tRNA from 2 species
GCCGGCCUAGCUCAACUGGUAGAGCAACUGACUUGUAAUCAGUAGGUUGGGGGUUCAAGUCCUCUGGCCGGC